CCAAUCGAACCCGGAGAUAGCUGGUUCUCCUCGAAAUAGCUUUAGGGCUAGCCUCGAUGGAGUCUUACGGAGGUAGAGCACUGAAUUUCUAAGGGGGCGUCAAAGCUUACCAAGGGAUAUCAAACUCCGAAUGCCGUAAAGAUGCUCAUCGGGAGUCAGACUGCACGAGAUAAGUUGGGCAGUCAAAAGGGAAAGAGCCCAGACCUGCUGCUAAGGUCCCAAAGUACGUGUUAAGUGGAAAAGGAUGUGGGAUUUCGAAGACAACUAGGAUGUUGGCUCAGAAGCAGCCACACAUUCAAAGAGUGCGUAAUAGCUCACUAGUCGAGAGGUCCUGCGCCGAAAAUGUCCGGGGCUGAAACACGACACCGAAGCACAGGAUACCGCAAGGUAUGGUAGAGGAGCAUUGCUGGCGCGAUGAAGCAGUACCGGAAGGAGCUGUGGAGUGCCAGGAAGAGAGAAUGCCGGAAUGAGUAGCGAGAGAGAGGUGGGAAUCCUCUCGGCCGAAUAUCCAAGGUUUCCAGGGUAAAGCUGAUCUGCCCUGGGUAAGUCGGGGCCUAAGGAGAGGCAGAAAUGCGUAUCCGAUGGACAGCAGGUUGAGAUUCCUGCACUAUCUUAAAACAGAACUGUGGGGACAUUUGUGGAGAGCACAGGCGCGGAACGGAAAGCCGCGUGCAAGCGAAGGAGGAGUCACAUAGGAAAAACCGUGUGGCAAUCCAAAGGCGUGAUGCGGACCGAACUAAAGUAGGGAAGUGUGUGAGCCAUGAAUCAAGAAAAGCCGCUAUUGUUUUUAAGAUACCCGUACCGUAAACCGACACAGGUGGAUGAGGAGAGAAUCCUAAGGCCGGCGGAAGAAGCAUUGUUAAGGAACUCGGCAAAAUGACCCCGUAACUUCGGGAGAAGGGGUGCCUGCGAGAGCAGGCCGCAGAGAAUAGGCUCAAGCAACUGUUUAGCAAAAACACAGGUCUAUGCGAAACCGAAAGGUGAGGUAUAUGGGCUGACGCCUGCCCGGUGCUGGAAGGUUAAGAGGAGAGGUUAGCGCAAGCGAAGCUUUGAAUUUAAGCCCCAGUAAACGGCGGCCGUAACUAUAACGGUCCUAAGGUAGCGAAAUUCCUUGUCGGGUAAGUUCCGACCCGCACGAAAGGCGUAAUGAUUUGAGCGCUGUCUCGACAAUGCAUCCGGUGAAAUUGAAGUACCAGUGAAGAUGCUGGUUACCCGCGCCAGGACGGAAAGACCCCAUGGAGCUUUACUCCAGUUUGGUACUGGGGUCCGGCAGUACAUGUACAGGAUAGGUGGGAGGCUGUGAACCUGGAACGCCAGUUUCAGGGGAGCCAUUGUUGGGAUACCACCCUUGUGCUGCUGGGCUUCUAACCAGCGGCCUUUAUCAGGCCGGGGGACAAUGCCAGACGGGGAGUUUGACUGGGGCGGUCGCCUCCGAAAGGGUAUCGGAGGCGCUCAAAGGUUCCCUCAGAAUGGUCGGAAACCAUUCGAAGAGUGCAAAGGCAGAAGGGAGCUUGACUGCGACACCGACGGGUGGAGCAGGUACGAAAGUAGGACUUAGUGAUCCGGUGGUAUUAAGUGGGAAUGCCAUCGCUCAACGGAUAAAAGCUACCCUGGGGAUAACAGGCUUAUCACUCCCAAGAGUUCACAUCGACGGAGUGGUUUGGCACCUCGAUGUCGGCUCAUCGCAUCCUGGGGCUGUAGUAGGUCCCAAGGGUUGGGCUGUUCGCCCAUUAAAGCGGUACGCGAGCUGGGUUCAGAACGUCGUGAGACAGUUCGGUCCCUAUCCGGCGUGGGCGUAGGAUAUCUGAGAGGAGCUGUCCUUAGUACGAGAGGACCGGGAUGGACGGGCCGCUGGUGCACCGGUUAGACUGCCAAGUCUAUAGCCGGGUAGCCAAGCCGGGAAGGGAUAAACGCUGAAGGCAUCUAAGCGUGAAGCCCCCCUCAAGAUGAGAUAUCCCAUUCGAAAGAAGUAAGACCCCUUGAAGACGACGAGGUAGAUAGGGCAGGGGUGGAAGUGCCGUAAGGCAUGGAGCUGACUGUUACUAAUCGGUCGAGGGCUUGACCUG
rnacentral:rRNA from 1 species